AUCUACCAAGAUUUUUCCAUGUUCGUCCUUAAUGCACUUCACUUGAUCCACAUUGCGUGCCCUCCUCUCCCGCGCCCUAGCUAGCCUGAAUAAUUUCCUAUCCCCACCUUUCUCUUCUAUUUCACCGUAAAGGCGUUCAAAAGCUGUCGUUUUUGCCGUCGAAAUCGCUGACUUCGCCUCCUUCCUCGCUAUCUUAUAAAGUUCGUUAUUCGUCCACUUCUCCACCUCAUCCGUGCUUUCUAUCAAUUUCGCGUACGUCAUUUUCUUUCCUUCCACCUUCCUUUGCACUUCUCCAUUCCACCACCAGUCCCCUUAAUGCCGACUACGACUACCUGUCGAUACUCCCAACACUUCCCUUGCUACAAUUCUAAUACAACUAGCCGUCCUAUCCCACAUACUGAUCGCAUCCCCACUACUAUCCCAGGCCCCCAUGUCCUUCAAUUUUUCUCCCAUCUCUAGGACACUAGCCGUGGUCAAACUUCCCCAUCUGAUCCUAGGUCGAUCAUCCUCUACCCUCUUCUUCUUCGUCAUCCUGAUCCCUAAAUCCAUCACCAAGAGCUUAUGUCGGGUUGUAAGGUUGUCUAUCGGAAAGACCUUACAGUCUUUGCACAGAUCUUUAUCAUCCUUUCUAAGGAGUAAAAAGUCUAUCUGAAUCUUAGCCACUGAACUAUGGAAGGUUACCAAGUGUUCCUUCUUCUUUGGGAAACUCGAAUUGGCUAUCACCAACCCAAAAGCUCUUGCAAAUUCCAAAAGUGAAACUCCUCCUCAAAAGAUAGAGCUAAGAAAACACUUGGCAAUUUUUAAGCUUCUCGUUUGAGAAGAAGUUUAAUUUGUUGGAGAAGAAAGAAAGAAAGAGAGAGAAAUUAGUAAACUAUUAUGGCUAUGGCGGAGCCGCUGGUGGUUAAUGUGGAGAAAGAAGAUGUGGCGGUGACAGGGGAAGUGUUUGUUGAAGAGGUGAAAAAGGCGAGUUGCAUAGCUUUGCCUAUGAUAGUUGUGACAGUAUCACAGUACCUUUUGCGUGUUUCACCAAUGAUAAUGUUAGGUCACCUUGGUGAACUUUCACUUUCUAGUGCUUCUAUUGCUACUUCAUUUUCCAACGUUACCGGUUACAGUAUACUUUUUGGAAUGUCUAGUGCGCUGGAGACUCUAUGUGGGCAAGGCCUAUGGAGCAAGACAAUAUCGAAAACUUGGAAGUUUUACUUAUACUGCUAUUAUUUGUCUGUUUCUGGUAUGCAUACCAGUCUCUGUUCUGUGGAUCUUUAUGGAUAAACUUCUUAUAUUGAUGGGCCAAGAUCCUUCAAUAGCAACUGAAGCUGGAAAAUACGCGAUUUGGCUCAUUCCUACACUAUUCCCAUAUGCUAUUCUUCAGUCACUUGUCCGGUAUCUGCAGGCACAGAGUUUAAUCCUACCAAUGCUUUUAAGUGGAGUUGUAUCUUUAUGCUUCCAAGUGCCGAUUUGUUGGGCUUUUGUAUUCAAAUUGAAUUUAGGGAUUGUCGGAGCAGCAUUGUCAAUUGGUUUAUCCUAUUGCUUGAAUGUGAUCUUGCUUAUGCUUUAUGUGAAGUACUCAUCAGCUUGAGAAGAGACUCGAGCCUCAUUCUCUAGGGAUGUUUUCCUGACUAUAGGGGACUUCUUCCAGUUUGCCAUCCCAUCUGCUGUAAUGGUUUGCUUGGAAUGGUGGGCAUUUGAGCUAAUCAUUCUGCUCUCUGGUCUGUUGCCAAAUCCGAUGCUAGAAACUUCCGUUCUUUCCAUAUGCCUUACAAUCACGUCUGUGCACUACCAUAUACCUUAUUCUUUCGGUGCUGCAGCAAGUACUCGGAUUUCAAAUGAGCUUGGAGCUGGGAGGCCACAGGCGGCAAAAAUUGCUCUUGCCGCUGUGAUAGUACUUUCUGCCACAGAGGUUGUUCUUGCAAGUACAACUCUAUUUGCGGUCCGUGAUGUAUGGGCCUAUGUGUUUACUUAUGAGAAAGAAGUGGCCACUUAUGUUGCAGAAAUUACUCCUAUUCUUUGCAUAUCAAUUAUCAUGGACGGCAUCCAAGCUUUACUAUCAGGAGUUGCCAGAGGAAGCGGGUGGCAGCAUAUUGGAGCCUAUGUGAACCUUGGAGCAUAUUAUUUGGUUGGAAUUCCCACGGCUUUAUUACUUGGACUUGUAUUGCAGCUAAAAGGCAAGGGGCUUUGGACUGGAUUGUUGGCUGGAGCAACUGUGCAAUCUAUUUCAUUCUCCCUUGUCAUAGGCUUCACCAAUUGGGAAAAACAGGCCAUUGAAGCAAGAUACAGAAUUUUUAGUGAAAAGCUUGCUGGCGAAAAUAAGUUCAUUGAAUUACAGGACAUGCAGAUGCUAUAGUGUGAAAUAAAGCUAUAACUUGCUUUGAUUUAGCAAGGAUCGUCUCUCAUCAUACUACCGAUUGGAAAAUUUUGAACAUGAUCCGUCUCUCAGGUAUUUAUUUAUUGUUCUUUUUCCUGCUUUUAGAUAAACCAGAUCAAUUUAUCCCAUUCAAGGAGAGAUUUUUUCUGAAUUUAUGUUUCUGUUCUCAGUGGAAUGAGGAAAAACUUUAGCAGAACAGUUUCAAUGUUGUUAGAUACAAUUUUCCUGUUUCCUUAGAUAUGUUGUCUCAUACGAUGAUCAGGGUAGAUUGAUGUUUAGC